AUUUAUUUAAUAUAAAAAGUAUAUUUGAUUUCCAAUCAAAAAGUCUAAUUACAUAUAGAAUAAAUA
rnacentral:tRNA from 4 species